rnacentral:rRNA from 1 species
CCUACGGGCGGCAGCAGUGAGGAAUAUUGGUCAAUGGACGAGAGUCUGAACCAGCCAAGUAGCGUGAAGGAUGACUGCCCUAUGGGUUGUAAACUUCUUUUAUAUGGGAAUAAAAUGUUCCACGUGUGGCAUUUUGUAUGUACCAUAUGAAUAAGGAUCGGCUAACUCCGUUCCAGCAGCCGCGGUAAUACGGAGGAUCCGAGCGUUAUCCGGAUUUAUUGGGUUUAAAGGGAGCGUAGAUGGAUUGUUAAGUCAGUUGUGAAAGUUUGCGGCUCAACCGUAAAAUUGCAGUUGAAACUGGCAGUCUUGAGUACAGGAGAGGUGGGCGGAAUGCGUGGUGUAGCGGUGAAAUGCUUAGAUAUCACGAAGAACUCCGAUUGCGAAGGCAGCUCACUGGACUGCAACUGACACUGAGGCUCGAAAGUGUGGGUAUCAAACAGGAUUAGAUACCCCAGUAGUC